rnacentral:sRNA from 12 species
CCUGUGGAGUGUUAUAUCAAACUGUAGUAGUCUGUUGCUAAAGUAACGACAAGGCAGGACACGAUUGAAGCAGGAA